rnacentral:tRNA from 1 species
UGAGUUGUAGUUUAAUUGGAAAAACACCUCUUUUUGGUAGAGGAUUAUAUCAGUUCAAAUCUGGUUGACUCAG